ACGAUCCGCACCCAACUCCUCGGCUCAUCCUCACGCAUCGGGGGAUAGCGGCCGCAUCCAUCGCAUCCACCGCCGCGGCCGCAUCCAUCGCAUCCACCGCCGUCGCCAAUCCCCGUCCUCCCCCCACCGAGUCGCCGACACAGCGCCGCCAUCGCCGUCGCUCCCCCACCGCGUCGCUCCCCCACCACGCCGUCGACCCAAGCGCCGCCAUCGCCGGCCUCCUCCACCGCGUCGCCCAUCGCCGUCCUCGCCCACCACGCCGCCGACCCCAGCGCCGCCAUCGCCGUCGCUCCCCCACCGCGUCGCUCCCCCACCACGCCGCCAUCGCCGUCCUCCCCCACCACGUCGCCGACCCAGCGCCGCCAUCGCCGUCCUCCCCCACCGCGUCGAUGUCGGAUCUGAGGGGCGGGAGCGACGGCAGUGUGGGGAGGUGAGUCGCCCCUGGCUACCGUCGCGCCGCCACCGCGCCACUGCGUCGUCACCGCCGUGAAUCGCUCUUAGGCGACGCCGCGGUUGCUUGUUGCGGGAAGCUGUGGAUGGAGCAGAUCGAGGGUGGCAGCGGUCGAGGAGGCGAGGUCCACGGUGGUGGGCGGUCGAGGUGGCGAGCUCCUGCCAAGGCGCAUAUCUGGAUCGGCGAGGUCGAGGUCCUCGUCGCCGUCAUUGUCUUGAUGUCUAGCUUCUGUUCGGGUUAUGAGGAGGGCUGUGACGGCUCACAUCUCUUCCAGGAUCCAACCUGCAGAUCACACGGUUCACCAUCCACGCGCAUGACUCGUUCCACGAGCCUCCCACCACAUCUCCACCGGAGUCCAGCGAGACCCCAUCGCCGCCCACCAUCCCUCAGUCGCUGCUGCGCUCGCAUCCACCGUGCCGCCUCCCCAUUUACGCCUCCAUCCCAGCGCCCCCCGCUUCCCAGCCGUUGCCCAUCCCGUCCUCCUCCUCCUCGCCAUGCCGCUUCCCCGUCGCCGCCACCGCUGCUCCCAGGACGAACUGACCUAGGCGGCAUCUAGGCCAUACCAACCAAUGUCGGCCAUCCUCCCCAACCAUGAUGAGGGUAAAUAGGAGGCGACGAGGCUAUCUCAGCGUCUAUCAACAUCGCUGAUCCUGAAUCUCCUACGACAUCGAUGGUCAAACGAGAACACCACGAAUGCUUUGCAACAGAUUCUGCCAGAGAAUGGAGGAUGAUGUGCACUCCACCACAUCGAGUACUAAUACUCCCUGAGCAGUGGCUCAACACUAGAAUGCUGCUGCCACUGGUUUUAGUUUCAGGUUGCAGGAGCGUGCUGAGAAGAGGAAGAAGUUGUACCAAAAAUCUGAAGAGAAGAUCCAUGCAAAGGAGCUUGAACAAACGCAGGCAAAAUCUAAAGGGGAGGAAAACAACCCAGCGACAUGGAAGUCCGUGUCUGAGGAGUGCGCCGGCUACAUGCGGGAGUUCCUCACCGACCUGGCCUACUGUUCCAACGUUGAGGUCGUUGCACGGGAGGCGACCGCCUAGCACGGGCUACGAGUGACGGCGCAGCAUGCGGAUGUUUGAUGUCAAUGAGACGCUGCUCUCCAACCUCCCCUACUACGCCGACCACAGAUACAGAGAAAGAAAAGGAGAAUUAUCAUGAGUCAUGUCUCAACAAUUAUCAGAUCAUGGAAUAAAAGAAUAGGAGGGGUGCCGAUUCCCUCCACCCGCUCUGCCCCAUGCUCCGCCCUCCCCACUCUGCAGAGAAGGGCAUGGGCGACGAUGGCAUGCUCUGCGCAGAGUGCUCAGGGGAGAGGGCGCGAGCGACGACGGCAUGCUCUGCGCAGAGUGCUCAGGGAAGGACGUAGCAUCGGCAAUGGUGCAGAGGUAGGAUGUGUUGAUCGCAGCGCAGUUGGGGAUUUUUGACGUGUCUUCAGGCUGUUCUCGAUGAGCUGUUAAUUAAAUGAAAUGUCAAGUGAUUUUCUUGAACUUGAUCAGACAAAGAAACUAUAUUAGGCGAAUAUUCAUGACCUGUUAGUCUGAAGCGGAAGUAGAAUCAGAUUUAACAAAUGCAGAUGUAGAAUCAGAUUUUAGCAAAUGCAGAUGUAGAACUAUCCAAGCAGAUUGAUCGGGCACAAUCUUACUGUGCCAUUGCCAGUCAUCUAUUCAAGCACAGAGCAAAUUUAACUCAAGAUUGUGAGAUGAUGCAUGUACAACUGAAUAAAGAUACAACCUUUUCUCUGCUCUAUUCUGCAUAUGCCAUGGUCCUCCAUGCUAUCUUUUUUUUUUUGUACGUAAAUCACCCAUGAGAAAUGAAUAUUGCACUUAUCCGCUUCCUUUUUA